UACGUAGGGUGCGAGCGUUAAUCGGAAUUACUGGGCGUAAAGCGUGCGCAGGCGGCUUCGCAAGUCAGACGUGAAAUCCCCGGGCUUAACCUGGGAAUGGCGUUUUAAACUACGGAGCUGGAGUAUGGCAGAGGGGGGUGGAAUUCCACGUGUAGCGGUGAAAUGCGUAGAUAUGUGGAGGAACACCGAUGGCGAAGGCAGCCCCCUGGGCCAAUACUGACGCUCAUGCACGAAAGCGUGGGGAGCAAACAGG
rnacentral:rRNA from 1 species